AAUAAUUUAUUGGGAAAAAAUAAAAAGAUAACAUACCACCAGGAGAUAAACUAGGAUGUGCAGGCAGAUGCAAAUGAUUGGCCUAAAGUUUGAUCCAUAAAAAUAUUGUUUUGGCCUUUAGAAGAUCUCCUGUUUCUGUUGUGAUGAUUAGCCGACUAAAGUCUCAUCUUUUGCUCGUUUUUGGAUUUCUUUUCGACUGUAGCAAAUUGGAAACAAGAGUCACUAAUUUUAGAAAAACUCUAAAUGCAACUGUCUUAUAUCCCCGUUGCGCCCUUGGUGCCUAUGUGGCAUAAAAAUAAAACGACGCCGUUCAAUUUUCCCUCAUCCCCUCGCACAAUUUUCCCUUCCCUUCUCUUCCCCCGCAUCUCUGUCUUCUCUCAUCUCUCUCCUCUCAUCCCUCCCAUCUCACAUGAACCCUAACUUUCCUUUCCUCUUCUCCCGCAUCACUGCCUUCUCCAUUCAAUUUUCUCAUCCCCUCGCAUACAAUUUUCCCUUCCCUUCCCCUGCAUUUCUAUCUUCUCUCAUCCCUCUCAUCUCACAUGAACCCUAACUUUCCUCUUCCCCCGCAUCCCUGCCUUCUUUUUCUCCUCUCAUUCUUUCUAUAACCCACACGAACCCUAAUCCAGAGAACUCAGGAAACCCACACGAGCCCAGAGAACCCUCGAACCGUUCUGUCUUCUCCCCGUUGUCCUCCCUCUCCCCCAAACUUCCAUCCCUGUCGUCUUCAACCCGGAGGCCUCGACGGGACAUGAACCCACUUCUCUCUGUUCAAAAACCCAGGGCUUACCAUACUAUAAGUUUUUCAAGUGGUUGGAUGCUAAUGAAGUGAUUGAGAUACAAGUUCAAUAAAGAAUUAAUGAAUUGUUAAAGAAAGAAGAAAGAGAAAGAUGUCGAGAAGAUACUUAAGCUGCUCGAAAAGAGAGAGAUUGAGCUCUGUAAGAUAGUGGAUCGCCUCAAGAGGGUGCAGAUGGUGCUGUCCAAUAAAAGCGACAUGGUUAUGCAAAAGGAAUUCGUGCUUAACGCACAAGAAGCUAAAAGAAGGUGUUUAGGCACACUACUUUGGAUUUAUUAUUGUUUCAUUUGUACAUGCAUUUUACAUAGUGUUAUAUAAGUAAUUUGAUAUUGUUGUUAGUAGUUAUGUGUUUAGGUAUUGGACUUGUGCAUUUGUAUUAGCCGUUGAACAGUUUGGAGUUAUUUUGGUGGUUAUGCAAAGUUAUUUUGUGGAAUAUGAUCCAAGUUAUGUAAAUAUGGCAACUCUUGUUAGAGUUUAGAGUUAAAUGUAUUAAUUUGUUAUUCCCAUGUAUGAUCCAAGUUAUGUAAAUGCAUUAAUUUGUUAUUCUUCAAUUUUA